UCUGUGUGUGUGUGUGUGUGUGUGUGUGUGUGUGUGUGUGUGUGUGUGUGGGUGGGAGGGAGGUUGGUCUCCAUUGACUGCCAAGACACACGGACCCCUGUCUUGUAUGUGCAUGCAUCAGCUGUGUGUGCACAGGUCUCUCUCACACACACCCACACACACUCACACCCAUAGGGGACACACAGAACAGAACAGGGUCAGCAGAGAUUCUCUUGUUUGGCCCCAAGUUCAGUUUCUUAAAGUUGUUUCAGUUUCCAAACAUUCCUAAAGUCAGACUCUGCUGCUGUUAAAAUGAAUCCAGCUGUGUUCCACUGUCUCUGUAGACAGAAAUAGAUAACAAUGAUAAAUCAUAAAUGACAUGAAAGUCUAUUUGAGAGGUCACACUGAAGCCAGAAUAAUCAGGACCUCCGCUGUGAGAAGUUGGACCCUCAAACCUGUCUGAACCCCCUUUAUGAUCAGUGCAUAUGUGUCCACAAAAAGGUGGAGAACCUCCACCCGUGAAAGUUGUUCACAUAACUUCCCUCAGCUGGAAUUUAGCCGCUGCACCGACCGUGUGUCGGAGCAUCCCUAGCUGGGCCCCUCUCUAGGCGGCUCCGCGUCAUGGAACAUUCCCGGAACCAGCCAGCGCGCCUCCCAUCGCCCUCCGCCUCAGACACGCAGAGUCAGUCCCGUGAGGCUGACUCCGAGUCCUCUCCCAGAGAGCGAGCAGGGGGACGCGGCUGCGUGUCAGCCAAUCUGAGGAAUGUCCUGAGCGCAAACAAGGAAACACCGCCGGAGCGCGUUCACGUUACCUCUCAGCUAUUCGGACGCUGCGCGCGCAGCAUAAGUGAUCCAAGGAUCCAUUACUGGUUAGGCUUCAACAGGACUCUAUCAUCCACAAGUGCUACCUGGGAUUUCCUCCAGAAUUGCCUGUUCUAUCCACGCUGUUCUCGCCAGCCGCUCAUGCCCUCUCAGAAGCCCUCCAGCCUCGCCUCGUCUUCCUGCCACCCACCUGCAGUCUCGAGCCAAAGACAUCACCUCUGGAAGACCACCUACAAGAACAAAAUAAAUCAAAUUACCUACCUUAAAACUCUCCUGUGUUCCUUCUGGGUCUGUCUCAAAGUCUCGAAUAUCAUGACAAUUCUAGCUAAUAUAUACGCUCCAAACACUGAUGAUCCAAAAUUUUCCCCCGUAUUUUUGAACAACUGCCAUGUUUAAAUUCACAUAUUCUCAUUAUGGGCGGAGACCUAAAAUUGUGUUUGAUUCCAGAGAUGGAUAGAUCCUCUGUUGAACCAGGAUAUGCAAUAUCCAAAGCCGCUUCCUAUGUUCAGUCUUUCCUCUCUACCUAUGGUGUCUUAGAUAUUUGGCAUUUUUUGCAUCCACAGGACAGACAAUAUUCUUUUUCUCCAACGCUCACGACAAGACUUAAAUUAAAAUAGAUCACUUUCCAACAGAUAAUAAGCUGACCCCCAAUAUUCAAGAAUGUGAUUAUCAACCAAUUGUAAUAUCAGAUCAUGCAGCACUGGUAUUAAAAUUAAAAAUACCAGGAGUAUCCCCACCCAGACGGCAUUGGAGAUUCGACUCUCUGUUGCUGAGUGACGAAUCAUUUAUGAAAUUUAUUUCUGAUCAAAUAUCCUUGUUUUUGCAGAUUAAUUUAACACUGGUUGUAUCCAUAGCAUCAGUUUGGGAAGCCUUAAAGGCAUAUCUUAGAGGUCAAGUGAUCUCUUAUGUAGCUAAAAAGAAGCGAGACGCUGUCUCUCCACAAAAAUAUUUCGAGAAACGGAUUGCAGACUUGGACAACAGACACUCAUUAAAUUCCACACAUGAUUUAUACAAAGAACAUCUAAAACUUUGUGCAGAACAUGAUAGGCUCACUUCUCAUUCCAAAGAAUCCCUACUGUUAAAAAAUAGGAGUAAUGUUUAUGAACAUGCUGAUAAGACAGGAGAGGUUCUAGCAAGACAGUUGAAGGGUUCAUGAGCCAAAAAAGCUAAAAGCGCGGUGACCAGUCAGGGAGAUGGUCAUUGGUCAGCAACAGACAAAUGAUGUCUUCCGAGACUAUUACUACAAUUUAUAUAGUUCGGAUGAUACCUGUAAUUCUGAUCUUCUCUCCAACUUUUUUAGACAUCGGCAUAUACCAGCAUUGUCUCCAGAGGAUGUCUCUGUCUUGGAUGCACCAGUACAACAGCAGAAGAUCGAAGCAGUUAUUAAAUCCUUACAGCCACACAAAUUACUAGGUCCAGACGGUCUACCGAGUGAGUUCUAAGCAGCUUUCUCUGAAAAAUUGGCUCCAAUGUUAGCCAAAGUAUAUACAGACUCUUUUAACAAGGGCGUUCUUCCAAGUAGUCUAAACCAAGCAUGCAUCACAUUACUCCC
ensembl:lncRNA